rnacentral:rRNA from 1 species
UACGAAGGGGGCUAGCGUUGCUCGGAAUCACUGGGCGUAAAGCGCACGUAGGCGGAUUGCUAAGUCAGGGGUGAAAUCCUGGAGCUCAACUCCAGAACUGCCCUUGAUACUGGCGGUCUCGAGUCCGGGAGAGGUGAGUGGAACUGCGAGUGUAGAGGUGAAAUUCGUAGAUAUUCGCAAGAACACCAGUGGCGAAGGCGGCUCACUGGCCCGGUACUGACGCUGAGAUACGAAAGCGUGGGGAGCAAACAGG